rnacentral:sRNA from 2 species
GGGGAUAAAACUAACUUGAGCAAGAAGUUGUAUGCGUCUCCUGGUGGUGGAGCAAGCAUAACAAUGGCGGAUAUAAGAUAAUGCUCGAACAGCCCUGCGGCCGGCGAAUUGAAAGGCCUAUUGCUUGCCCAGAACCUGGAAAAUGGCAGAACCCCUUCCCGGCCUAAUUCUUGGAUAACUAUUGACACAUUAGCCUUCAAUUUUUUGGUUGCUGGCAUGCAUGUCGUGUACUCACUUCUUCCCUGGGAAAAUAUAACAGACUGAACAUUCCCGAAGGCACACAAAGCUAUAAAAAUGGAUAAAACCCUCUCUGCCUUGGGGCCAAAAACAUUUCGAAAAAAGGAAGCGGCCAGGAUACGUCCAGAACCAAGAUCUCUUGUUUCGGGACAACAACAAAGUAUGCAACAUUGACCAGCAUAUACAAAACGCUGGCAAGCCCCACCCCUAUGGGCGCGGCGAUUUUCAAUGUUCGAGCUGGAUUUCUCGUCUCGCUCAAUGACUGUUGUUGGCAUUUUGCAUUCGAAUAUCCAACGUACGACCAGAUCACGCUAUACAAUGCUGUUACAAUCCCAUAUACACUUGGAAUACUUCCUUCAAACGGUCG